GGUUUUGUAGUGUAAUGGUUAGCACAUCGGAUUCUGAUGCUUAUCAUUCCGGUAAUGGCGGUUCGAUUCCGCCCAAGACCU